rnacentral:rRNA from 1 species
UACGUAGGGUGCGAGCGUUAAUCGGAAUUACUGGGCGUAAAGUGUGCGCAGGUGGCUCUGCAAGUCGAGUGUGAAAUCCCCGGGCUUAACCUGGGAAUUGCGCUCGAAACUACGGAACUAGAGUGUGGCAGAGGGAGGUGGAAUUCCACGUGUAGCGGUGAAAUGCGUAGAGAUGUGGAGGAACACCAAUGGCGAAGGCAGCCUCCUGGGCCAACACUGACACUCAUGCACGAAAGCGUGGGGAGCAAACAGG